UUGCGCAAGUGCUAUUUAUCUGAGCAAUAUUCGCAAUCAUCUGCCGGCAGCGUAGCGCUAUCGUUAUCCACAGAAUCACUGCCCGGACAUCAGUCCACAGCGAAGCGCCCUAGACGGGGCUUUGCGGCCAGCCAUCCCAUCGGAUCGGCCAGGCCCCCGGGCUACACCGAGUCCAGAAGACCAGGUGAGGUGAGCCGGCGUUAUCCACGUCGAGCACGGACAACCAUUCAAGAGGGAGGCCCCGCAGGCCUCCCU
rnacentral:sRNA from 1 species